AGGCAGCGGAGCUCACGGGGAUCAGCGCGGACCUGCGGCGCCGGCAGCGCCGAUCCGCCGCCGCCCGCCGGCGGAGAAGGGAAGGGAAGAGGGGACGCGGGCGCUGCCGGAGCAGCAGGACCCUGCCGCAUCACCUCAGCGCCCGCGGGCACGAAGGGAGGCGUGAGCCACAUUUUAUAAACCUUUAAGGAGCCAGUUCUGCAAGAACAACUCAACAGACUGAGUGGUGACUUACAACUACAAGCCAGGAGAAUGGUCUGAUGUUGGCUCUGGGAUACUCCUGGGCAUCAUGAGAGGUCCUUGAAGCUCAUACCUUUGCGAGGGAUGUGCAUCCAGAAGAGAAGAGCUGUGAUGGGGUGAGCUAAAGGCAGCCUCCCCAACCCAGCACCCUCGGACAAGCAAGGCUGUUCCAGAGCACGGCGGCUGUUCCAGAGCAAGGUAUUCACUCCCUGUAAUGAGACAAUGCUAUUCUGCUGUGGAAGUUUCUUUCCUAGUUGGUGAUCUGUUUAAAUAACCUGGGGAG